rnacentral:rRNA from 1 species
GACGAACGCUGGCGGCGUGCUUAACACAUGCAAGUCGAGCGGUAAGGCCCUUUCGGGGGUACACGAGCGGCGAACGGGUGAGUAACACGUGGGUGACCCUGCCCUCAGCUCUGGGAUAAGCCUGGGAAACCGGGUCUAAUACCGGAUAUGACUCCAUGACGCAUGUUGUGGGGUGGAAAGCCUUGUGCGGCUGAGGAUGGGCCCGCGGCCUAUCAGCUUGUUGGUGGGGUGAUGGCCUACCAAGGCGACGACGGGUAGCCGGCCUGAGAGGGCGACCGGCCACACUGGGACUGAGACACGGCCCAGACUCCUACGGGAGGCAGCAGUGGGGAAUCUUGCGCAAUGGGCGAAAGCCUGACGCAGCGACGCCGCGUGAGGGAUGACGGCCU